CAAUAGCGUAUAUUAAAGUUGUUGCAGUUAAAAAGCUCGUAGUUGAAUUUCUGGCGGGCGCGCCGGUCUUCCAAGUGUUGUACUGGCCGCAGUCCGCCAUCCUUGUGGAGAGGGCUCGCAUUGAGUUGCGUGUCGGAUCUGCAUCAUUUACUGUGAAAAAAUUAGAGUGUUUAAAGCAGGCUGUCGCUUGAAUACAUUAGCAUGGAAUAAUAAGAUAGGACUUCGGUCUAUUUUGUUGGUUGCGAACCGAGGUAAUGAUUAAUAGGGAUAGUUGGGGGUAUUCAUAUUUAAUUGUCAGAGGUGAAAUUCUUGGAUUUAUGAAAGAUGAACAACUGCGAAAGCAUUUACCAAGGAUGUUUUCAUUAA
rnacentral:rRNA from 1 species